rnacentral:rRNA from 1 species
CAGCCGUAAACUAUGCUCGCUAGGUGUCAGGCAUGGCGCGACCGUGUCUGGUGCCGCAGGGAAGCCGUGAAGCGAGCCACCUGGGAAGUACGGCCGCAAGGCUGAAACUUAAAGGAAUUGGCGGGGGAGCACAACAACGGGUGGAGCCUGCGGUUUAAUUGGACUCAACGCCGGACAACUCACCGGGGGACGACAGCAAUAUGUAGGCCGAGCUGAAGACCUUGCCUGAAUCGCUGAGAGGAGGUGCAUGGCGUAGACGUCU